rnacentral:rRNA from 1 species
GGACUACUAGGGUUUCUAAUCCUGUUUGCUACCCACGCUUUCGUGUCUCAGCGUCAGUCGUGGUCCAGUAAGCUGUCUACACCACAGGUGUUCCUCCUGAUAUCUACGCAUUUCACCGCUACACCAGGAAUUCCGCUUACCUCUCCCAUCCUCUAGCACCCCAGUUCCCACCGCACCCUCCCAGUUAAGCCGGGAGAUUUCACGACAGACUUAGAGCACCGCCUACACACUCUUUACGCCCAGUAAUUCCGAACAACGCUCGCUGCCUACGUAUUACCGCGGCGGCUGGCAC